rnacentral:rRNA from 1 species
AGAGUUUGAUCCUGGCUCAGGAUGAACGCUGGCGGCGUGCCUAAUACAUGCAAGUCGAGCGAACGGACGAGAAGCUUGCUUCUCUGAUGUUAGCGGCGGACGGGUGAGUAACACGUGGAUAACCUACCUAUAAGACUGGGAUAACUUCGGGAAACCGGAGCUAAUACCGGAUAAUAUUUUGAACCGCAUGGUUCAAAAGUGAAAGACGGUCUUGCUGUCACUUAUAGAUGGAUCCGCGCUGCAUUAGCUAGUUGGUAAGGUAACGGCUUACCAAGGCAACGAUGCAUAGCCGACCUGAGAGGGUGAUCGGCCACACUGGAACUGAGACACGGUCCAGACUCCUACGGGAGGCAGCAGUAGGGAAUCUUCCGCAAUGGGCGAAAGCCUGACGGAGCAACGCCGCGUGAGUGAUGAAGGUCUUCGGAUCGUAAAACUCUGUUAUUAGGGAAGAACAUAUGUGUAAGUAACUGUGCACAUCUUGACGGUACCUAAUCAGAAAGCCACGGCUAACUACGUGCCAGCAGCCGCGGUAAUACGUAGGUGGCAAGCGUUAUCCGGAAUUAUUGGGCGUAAAGCGCGCGUAGGCGGUUUUUUAAGUCUGAUGUGAAAGCCCACGGCUCAACCGUGGAGGGUCAUUGGAAACUGGAAAACUUGAGUGCAGAAGAGGAAAGUGGAAUUCCAUGUGUAGCGGUGAAAUGCGCAGAGAUAUGGAGGAACACCAGUGGCGAAGGCGACUUUCUGGUCUGUAACUGACGCUGAUGUGCGAAAGCGUGGGGAUCAAACAGGAUUAGAUACCCUGGUAGUCCACGCCGUAAACGAUGAGUGCUAAGUGUUAGGGGGUUUCCGCCCCUUAGUGCUGCAGCUAACGCAUUAAGCACUCCGCCUGGGGAGUACGACCGCAAGGUUGAAACUCAAAGGAAUUGACGGGGACCCGCACAAGCGGUGGAGCAUGUGGUUUAAUUCGAAGCAACGCGAAGAACCUUACCAAAUCUUGACAUCCUUUGA